rnacentral:rRNA from 1 species
GAUGAACGCUGGCGGCGUGCUUAACACAUGCAAGUCGAACGGGAAUUACUUUAUUGAAACUUCGGUCGAUUUAAAUUAAUUCUAGUGGCGGACGGGUGAGUAACGCGUGGGUAACCUGCCUUGUACAGGGGGAUAACAGUCAGAAAUGGCUGCUAAUACCGCAUAAGCGCACAGGACCGCAUGGUCCGGUGUGAAAAACUCCGGUGGUAUAAGAUGGACCCGCGUUGGAUUAGCUUGUUGGCAGGGUAACGGCCUACCAAGGCGACGAUCCAUAGCCGGCCUGAGAGGGUGAACGGCCACAUUGGGACUGAGACACGGCCCAGACUCCUACGGGAGGCAGCAGUGGGGAAUAUUGCACAAUGGGGGAAACCCUGAUGCAGCGACGCCGCGUGAAGGAAGAAGUAUCUCGGUAUGUAAACUUCUAUCAGCAGGGAAGAGAUUGACGGUACCUGACUAAGAAGCCCCGGCUA